UACAGAGGGGGCAAGCGUUGUUCGGAAUUACUGGGCGUAAAGGGCGCGUAGGCGGCCUGUUAAGUCGAACGUGAAAUCCCCGGGCUCAACCCGGGAACUGCGUCCGAUACUGGAAGGCUUGAAUCCGGGAGAGGGAUGCGGAAUUCCAGGUGUAGCGGUGAAAUGCGUAGAUAUCUGGAGGAACACCGGUGGCGAAGGCGGCAUCCUGGACCGGUAUUGACGCUGAGGCGCGAAAGCCAGGGGAGCGAACAGG
rnacentral:rRNA from 1 species